GUCGACUCUGAAGGUUGUGAGUCAUUCUGAAUCGUAUAGAACAGUGGGAGUCGUUCUGAAUCAUAUAGACCAUUGGGAGUCGUUCUGAAUCAUAUAGACCAUUGGGAGUCGUUCUGAAUCAUAUAGACCAUUGGGAGUCGUUCUGAAUCGUAUAGAACAGUGGGAGUCGUUCUGAAUCGUAUAGAACAGUGGGAGUCGUUCUGAAUCGUAUAGAACAGUCGGAGUCGUUCUGAAUCGUAUAGAACAGUGGGAGUCGUUCUGAAUCGUAUAGAACAGUGGGAGUCGUUCUGAAUCGUAUAGAACAGUGGGAGUCGUUCUGAAUCGUAUAGAACAGUGGGAGUCGUUCUGAAUCGUAUAGAACAGUGGGAGUCGUUCUGAAUCGUAUAGAACAGUGGGAGUCGUUCUGAAUCGUAUAGAACAGUGGGAGUCGUUCUGAAUCGUAUAGAACAGUGGGAGUCGUUCUGAAUCGUAUAGAACAGUGGGAGUCGUUCUGGAUCGUAUAGAACAGUGGGAGUCGUUCUGAAUCGUAUAGAACAGUGGGAGUCGUUCUGAAUCGUAUAGAACAGUGGGAGUCGUUCUGAAUCGUAUAGAACAGUGGGAGUCAUUCUGAAUCGUAUAGAGGGAGUGGGAGUCAUUCUGGGAGUCGUUCAGAAGACCAGUGGGAGUCGUUCAGAAGACACCCGAGUUCUUCAGUCCAACCUUCAUCUCCACACUGUCUUCAUGGAGCUGCAUUGUGCACAAGGACAUUGUCACUAUGGAGCAGGGUUUGAGUUCCAGUGAAGGGAAACUGUAAAACUAUACAGACAUUUUGUACAACUGUGGUUUAGACUUAUAGGGGAAAAUACACGUGUGUGAGAUGGUCAGGGGUGUGCAUACUUUUAUCCAUAUAGUGUCUGCUUAUCCACUUGAACAGCAUAGUGCAUGUUUCAUUUGAGAACUCUCCGUAUGUCUUGAAGAAGUUGGACAGCAUAUGAGGAUGUUCCUGAGGAUGUUCCUGAGGAUGAUUCUGCACCUGAACUCAUGGAGAAUUGUCAUGCUUCACCUUGUUUGCAGCUCCGUCCAUCAUCAUCAUCAUCAUCAUCAUCAUGCUGCAGUUAUAUUUCCUGGAUGAAGCUGAACUUUCUUUCGUUAAACCCUGUGUUUUUGCUGUGGUGUUGGUGUCUGCGGCAGCUGAUCAGUGCACACGUGACAUGACGUCACGUGUCGAUCACGUGACUAAACUGUAAAUGUAUAAUGUAUUAGAUCUCUCGUCUGUAUUAAAAGUUAUUCCUCGAG